GAUGAACGCUGGCGGCGUGCCUAAUACAUGCAAGUCGAGCGAACGGACGAGAAGCUUGCUUCUCUGAUGUUAGCGGCGGACGGGUGAGUAACACGUGGAUAACCUACCUAUAAGACUGGGAUAACUUCGGGAAACCGGAGCUAAUACCGGAUAAUAUUUUGAACCGCAUGGUUCAAAAGUGAAAGACGGUCUUGCUGUCACUUAUAGAUGGAUCCGCGCUGCAUUAGCUAGUUGGUAAGGUAACGGCUUACCAAGGCAACGAUGCAUAGCCGACCUGAGAGGGUGAUCGGCCACACUGGAACUGAGACACGGUCCAGACUCCUACGGGAGGCAGCAGUAGGGAAUCUUCCGCAAUGGGCGAAAGCCUGACGGAGCAACGCCGCGUGAGUGAUGAAGGUCUUCGGAUCGUAAAACUCUGUUAUUAGGGAAGAACAUAUGUGUAAGUAACUGUGCACAUCUUGACGGUACCUAAUCAGAAAGCCACGGCUAACUACGUGCCAGCAGCCGCGGUAAUACGUAGGUGGCAAGCGUUAUCCGGAAUUAUUGGGCGUAAAGCGCGCGUAGGCGGUUUUUUAAGUCUGAUGUGAAAGCCCACGGCUCAACCGUGGAGGGUCAUUGGAAACUGGAAAACUUGAGUGCAGAAGAGGAAAGUGGAAUUCCAUGUGUAGCGGUGAAAUGCGCAGAGAUAUGGAGGAACACCAGUGGCGAAGGCGACUUUCUGGUCUGUAACUGACGCUGAUGUGCGAAAGCGUGGGGAUCAAACAGGAUUAGAUACCCUGGUAGUCCACGCCGUAAACGAUGAGUGCUAAGUGUUAGGGGGUUUCCGCCCCUUAGUGCUGCAGCUAACGCAUUAAGCACUCCGCCUGGGGGGUACGACCGCAAGGUUGAAACUCAAAGGAAUUGACGGGGACCCGCACAAGCGGUGGAGCAUGUGGUUUAAUUCGAAGCAACGCGAAGAACCUUACCAAAUCUUGACAUCCUUUGACAACUCUAGAGAUAGAGCCUUCCCCUUCGGGGGACAAAGUGACAGGUGGUGCAUGGUUGUCGUCAGCUCGUGUCGUGAGAUGUUGGGUUAAGUCCCGCAACGAGCGCAACCCUUAAGCUUAGUUGCCAUCAUUAAGUUGGGCACUCUAAGUUGACUGCCGGUGACAAACCGGAGGAAGGUGGGGAUGACGUCAAAUCAUCAUGCCCCUUAUGAUUUGGGCUACACACGUGCUACAAUGGACAAUACAAAGGGCAGCGAAACCGCGAGGUCGAGCAAAUCCCAUAAAGUUGUUCUCAGUUCGGAUUGUAGUCUGCAACUCGACUACAUGAAGCUGGAAUCGCUAGUAAUCGUAGAUCAGCAUGCUACGGUGAAUACGUUCCCGGGUCU
rnacentral:rRNA from 1 species